GGCUGCUCCACAGGCUCCCAGUCUCCAGUGGCCUGCAGGACAUCUGGCGCUGCUGAUUCCUGCAGGGAGAGCUCCCGUCGAUGGCUGUGACUCUCCAGGUGGGACCCGCAUGGCGGGAACUUCUUGUGUGAGAGCCGCAGGAGUGCGAGGAAGGUGGCAGAAGAGAAAGAGAUACUGGUGACAUCUAAGAGGAGCAAGGUAAGCCCUGUGAAAGGGUUGUUUGACCCCCAGGUUGAGAACCGUUGCUUGUAAGAACUGAGAGAGCAGAAAGAAACCGUGGGACAGGACCACCACCAUGACCUGACACCCUCUUGUGGCCUCCAGAGGCAUUGCAUGCAGUAGUACAUACACAUGCACUCAGGCAUUCACACAUACGCAUAAAAUAAAUACUAAAAAGAACAA